AAGUGGCCGAUAGACUUUCCCAGCCGGUUACUUGCCAAAAGUGGACCUAUUGGUAGGAAAUUUGGAAAUAAGGCAAACGUUGCCGACUCUAGCUCAUAACUUGAAUUGGAGAUCAGCCGGUCUGCAAAUUUCAUGGCCUUGUUGUUUCUAGUAAAAAGAUCGAAAAUGGAUUUAUUUGUCUUCUCAUCAUGAAAGCAUAGCCAUGGGAAGUUUUCUGUGUUCAUUGAAGGCAUGGAUGGUGAGAGCUGAAUCAUCUGAUUAUUCACCGGAGUUCCUGCUGAAGAAAAAAGGUUAUUUUGGUGACAUCAGAGGGCGGGAAAAUCCCAAAUACCUGCAUCCAUCCACAAGCCAGGGGCAAAGGAUAACCACAUGGCUACACUGGUGGGAUUUAUACUUUUCAUUACCAUUGCUAUUUUCUUUGAUAUUGUUCUCCUUCGAUAACAAGAAUUCCACUGUAUUUUCUCUAUCGUCCUAUAUUUGAAAUCAGUUGUAAAAUUCUGCACUGUUCGUUUUGUUGUUGCAGACAGAUCAAGAGUUAGACUAAAGGUCUUACCAUAACUUUCUAUAAUCCCAUCAGCAAUCAGUUCCGGAAUGCUUAAUUGCAAAGCCCAUAGGGCAGCUGCAGCAGGCCAGAAGGCUGCUCGCCUGAUUCGCAUCUUCUCUGCAACUUCCAAGGCCCAUCCCUGGCACCCAUCUGCUAUAACACAAGUGAUCUUGUUGUUGUCUGAUCCAUUAAUCUUUUCAAUAAGCUCUUCUAGCUUCCCAGGCAUGACCUCCCAGGUGGAUU